rnacentral:rRNA from 1 species
GACGGCGUGCCUUUUGCAUAAUGAGCCUACGAGUUAACGUUGCUGGCAAGGAUAAGUGGUUAAGCCACGGAUCCGUAGCGAAAGCGAGUCUGAAUAGGGCGCUUUAGUCAGUAGUGUUAGACGCGAAACCGUGUGAUCUACCCAUGGACAGGUUGAAGCUUUGUUAACCCAAAGUGGAGGACCGAACCCGUUGACGUUGAAAAGUCUUGGGAUGAUCUGUGGGUAGGGGUGAAAGGCCAAUCAAACUCGGAAAUAGCUCGUACUCCCCGAAAUGCAUUUAGGUGCAGCGUUAUGGUUAAAGUUAUAUAGAGGUAGAGCUACUGAUUGGAUGCGGGGGCUUCACCGCCUACCAAUUCCUGACAAACUCCGAAUGCUAUAUAAUGUUUCAUAACAGUGAGGGCUUGGGUGCUAAGGUCCAAGUCCGAGAGGGAAAGAACCCAGACCAUCAGCUAAGGUCCCCAAAUAUAUACUAAGUUGAAAGAACGAGGUUUGUCUGCAUAGACAGCUAGGAUGUUGGCUUGGAAGCAGCCAUUCAUUUAAAGAGUGCGUAACAGCUCACUAGUCGAGCGGACGAGCAUGGAUAAUAAUCGGGCAUAAGUAUAUUACCGAAGCUAUGGAUUUAGAGUUUACUCUAAGUGGUAGGGGAGCAUUCUAACAGGGUAGAAGGUGUGUCGUAAGGCAUGCUGGACUGGUUAGAAAAGAAAAUGUAGGCAUAAGUAACGAUAAUGCGGGCGAGAAACCCGCACACCGAAAGACUAAGGUUUCCACAGCUAUGCUAAUCAGCUGUGGGUUAGUCGGGACCUAAGGCGAACCCGAAAGGGACAGUCGAUGGACAACGGGUUAAUAUUCCCGUACUACUGUUAACUGUGAUGGGGUGACGGAGUGAUGAAAGUGCCGCGAACUGACGGAAUAGUUCGUUGAAGUACCUACCUAUAAGGCCCGCAGGCAAAUCCACGGGCUUUGGGGAAAUACGAUAGUACUCGGCGUCUUCGGACAAAGAGAUAGUGCACCUAAGGGCUUCCAAGAAAAACCUCUAAACUUCAGGUUAAUAGUACCCGUACCGCAAACCGACACAGGUAGUCGAGAUGAGAAUUCUAAGGUGCUCGAGAGAUUCAUGGCUAAGGAAUUAGGCAAAAUAGACCCGUAACUUCGGGAGAAGGGUCGCCAGCAGCAAUGCUGGCCGCAGUGAAGAGGUCCAGGCGACUGUUUAUCAAAAACACAGGGCUCUGCAAAAUCGUAAGAUGAAGUAUAGGGCCUGACACCUGCCCGGUGCUGGAAGGUUAAGUGGAGAUGUUAUUCGCAAGAAGAAGCAUUGAAAUGAAGCCCCAGUAAACGGCGGCCGUAACUAUAACGGUCCUAAGGUAGCGAAAUUCCUUGUCGGGUAAGUUCCGACCUGCACGAAUGGUGUAACGAUCUGGACACUGUCUCAGCCAUGAGCUCGGUGAAAUUGUAGUAGCGGUGAAGAUGCCGCUUACCCGCAGUGGGACGAAAAGACCCUGUGCACCUUUACUAUAGCUUAGUAUUGACCUUGGAUAAAUGAUGUGUAGGAUAGGUUGGAGACU